UUAAAUGUGCCAUCUUAGUUACAUGCUUCUUUAACUUUAUACAGGUGAAGCAUAAAAAAUUAUUGUAUGUUGUGAAUGAAAGAGAAAUAUUAAAAAUAAAAAAUUCAGUUGCUACAACUAUUAAAAGAUCACCAACCUGUAAUAUUAUCGGUAAGCUGAUAAUAUACACGUUGUUAUAUUGCUAUAAAAUAUUAAAUUUGUUUGUAUUAUGAAGUUGACCAGCACUGUGAUGAAGUUCCUGCCUGUCAGGCUUGCUUAAAUUACAGUGGCUUUAGCAGAAAAGAUGCGGUGGAAGUGAACGAUGAAGUGCAUGAAUAAAGUGGGUUAAAUUUCUGUGUAUUCUUGACAAUUUCUGUAUUUUAUUUAAUCUUUUUGACAUGAUUUAGGCUGUUUUUAAUGAAGAAGUGAAUAACCUUGAUGAAUGUCAAAAGAUGUUUUAUAAAAAUCAAAUUCAAAAUGCCUCAGUUUCAACACACGCAAGAAGAUAUCACCCGGAUGUAAUCAGAUGGGCUAUUGAACUUUUAUGCUGUUCACCUGCUGCUAAUGACCAUAUAAGACAAAGCAAUAUUUUAUUUCUUUCCUCCGUCUCCACCAUUAAAAGUUACAGAUUUGUGUGUCUUACAGAUGUAAUUUGUUGGUAUCUUUUAAAAACCAUUACAGAAAUUGCAUUCCUGCUACAACAGGUUUAAACAAAACUGCAAUUGCUGAAAUAGAACGUGUGGCUUUGUGUGUCCUUACAGAUGUAAUUAGCUGGUAUCUUUUAAAAACCAAUACAGAAAUUGCAUUCCUGCUACAACAGGUUUAAACAAAACUACAAUUGCUGAAAUAGAUCGUGUAGCAAAGGAAAACAAUCAAUUAAUUUGUUUCAUUACAUUAGAUGAAAUGAAAAGUGAGCUAGUAACUGAGUUGUUUAAAAUAUAAACAGUGGUUUAACCUCGUAUUUAUUAUGUUUAAAGUUCAGGAGAAUGUAGUUAUUCGGGUUUGCUGAGCUUGAAACUGUUGAACAGUCUAUAAAUCCAAAUCUUGCAACUCACAUUUUAUUAGCUUUGUAAUCACAAAUCAAAAGCCCUUUAUACAAAACUAAACAUUUCAAUAUUUUUUCAGUUUUCUGCUGCAGCCUACCGAAUGUCAUUAAUUUUUUGGGAGCUGCUCUCUGAUUGUGAAAAGAGAGGUCGGCAGAUUCAUGCUGUAGUUGCAGAUGGACUGUCACUUAAUCGCAGGUUUAAACUAAUAAGUGGUAACCAGGUCCCCCUAGAUGGAACAUUUACUGCUCCAAAUCCAAAUGCACCACAUCGACCCAUCUACUUAUGUUCAGACCCAUGCCGUUUGUUAAAGACUGUUCGCAACUCACUGUUGUCAUCAAAGCCUGGUGCCACACGAUAUAUGAAUAUCAAUGGUGAGGAUAUACUGUGGACAGACAUUGUUAAAUUAUAUGAAGUGGAUGCAAAGUCACCAAUCCUAAAUUCUUCAGGACUAAACUUACACCAUACAGCAAAAGUACAACGAGUAUUACUUAUCCUAACUUGAAAAUUUAUGUAUUAAUUAUUUGUGCAGAUAUUAAAGUUAACUUAGCUAAGGAUGUUUUGAGUUGGCGUGUUGGGCAGUGUUUAAGUGUUAUUCCAGCAGAAAAAGGAACAUCUGACUUUGUUUUGAUGUUUUCAAAAUGGUUUGAAAUAAUUAAUUGCAGUACAAGUUUCCCCAUUCGCAACUGUUCAGACACAAGGUUGGAGUGGUUACAAGAGACGUUCAUUAAAAAGUUGCUAAAAUGGAAGGUUGCUUACUUGUUCUAUUUAUUUGUUACGUAUUUCCAAGGUAUUCUUUUUAUCUAAUUUAGAAAACUUUACCAUUUCAGAAUGAUGUUGAAGUGAACCACCCAGGAGAAGACACGAUUAAUGGCCCGACCAACUCUGGAGGGGUUGUUGUUUACCACAAAAAAAAUUAUCGAAUUAUCUCGCAGGCUGUUACAAUGUCUUGAUUAUGUUUGCCUGCAUUCUUUUAGUCAGGACAUUUUAGAAGCAUUUUUUGGAAAUCAAGUUGUGCAACUAUUCAAUAUGU